GCCAGCUGCAUGUUUUUAAAAGCAUGCUGAAAGAUUGAGACCUUGGUUCCAGUGACUUUUUUCUUUUCAUAAUGCAAAAAGCUUUGAUUGCCAGGCAUCCACUUCAAAGAUGACUGUCCUGAAUAAACACUUUGCCGGCCACCGCCCCUUACUGCAACUUCUUUGUUUUACACAUCUUUGUUGAUUCCAUCAUUGACCAUUUGGGCCACUGUUUUAAAAUUGUUUGUCCUUGCCCUUUAAAUUCUCACUCUUGUAUUUUAAAUUCACCAAUGAAGAGUAAGCCCGCGAAACCCUAGGCUCCACCCUCAGCCUGGACAAAAGCAGGAGCCCUGGCAGGCGCACUUUCUUUUUCUCCCUCGCCACAACCUCACUGUGUAAUCUGAAGUGUGCUGUGUAACUUCCAGUUCCUCUCACUUUUCUCCAGGGGGCUCAGGUUUCAGAGCCGGUUCUUCCUUCGGAAGGUCACCACAUCCUUCCAUCAAAGCUGCUGACCCCGGGACAGAACUUGACUCCAGGAGUUUUAACAUCCCAACCCUGAAAAAUCUUCUAACGCCCAAGGAGAAAUUUAAGAUAUAUUGAUUGGGAAGCUCUGACCCAGGUGCAUUUCCCAUAUUAUUUUUGUAAAGUGUCAAAAGUACAUGUGGUUAUUUUGUACCAACAUUAAUUAAAAGCACUGCAAAGUGCUUUUAAACAAAUUGCUUCUUCAAAUCCUUUUGGCAAUAGGGCACCGAUGAAUAGAUAACUAUGAAUAAUACUUCCACAGGUGCAGAGCUGGGAAAUACCUGCCAUUCUAGACCAGGAAAUCAAUCCUAUGUAACAACAAAUAUUUAUUUCACUAGACACAGGCAGCACCUACAUGCAUCCGGGAUAUUUUCCAUAGACAUCAAGUGGUGUACUCACGUUUACAACAUGAAUGUUUGUAUUACUUCA